AGGGGCGACCGGGUGAGUAACACGUGAUUAUAAAAAAAACGAGUGGGGAAUAACUCCGGGAAACCGGGGCUAAUCCCUUUAUCAUCGAGAGAUCAAAGCAGCAUUGCGCUUGAGGAGGGGGUCGCGGCUGAUUAGCUAGUUGGCGGGGUAAUGGCCCCCCCCGGCGAAAAUCGGUAUCCGGCCUGAGAGGGCGCACGGACACACUGGAACUGAAACACGGUCCAAACUCCUACGGGAGGCAGCAGUGGGGAAUUUUGCGCAAUGGGGGAAACCCUGACGCAGCAACGCCGCGUGGAGGAUGAAGUCCCUUGGGACGUAAACUCCUUUCGACCGGGACGAUAAUGACGGUACCGGUGGAAGAAGCCCCGGCUAACUUCGUGCCAACAGCCGCGGUAAUACAAGGGGGGCAAGCGUUGUUCGGAAUUAUUGGGCGUAAAGGGCGCGUACGCGGUGCGGUAAGUCACCUGUGAACCCUCUGGGCUCAACUCAAAGCCUUCAGGGCA
rnacentral:rRNA from 1 species